UACGAAGGGGGCUAGCGUUGUUCGGAUUUACUGGGCGUAAAGCGCGUGUAGGCGGGCCUGUAAGUUGGGGGUGAAAUCCCAGAGCUCAACUCUGGAACUGCCUUCAAGACUGCUGGCCUGGACCCAAGGAGAGGCAGGGGGAAUUCCGAGUGUAGAGGUGAAAUUCGUAGAUAUUCGGAGGAACACCAGUGGCGAAGGCGCCCUGCUGGACUUGUGGUGACGCUGAGACGCGAAAGCGUGGGGAGCAAACAGG
rnacentral:rRNA from 1 species